AGAUAUAUAUAAACACUAGAUGGCUCAUGGGAGAUUUUCCAGCGUAGCUCACCGGCCGCCAUCUUGCUACAGUCAACAGCUACUCUGGUACGCGCUAUGGUAGCUGUUGUAAGAAGUACCUGACUAUGCCUGACUUUUGUGCUGCCUACGGCUGCUCUAAUCGCCGCAGUCUGCAAACAAGAACCCGUGGAAUCACGUGUUUCCCAAAACCGGAGAGAGGAGGAGGCAGUGGGAACUCGCCCUAAGAAGGGACGGUUUUGUUUCCUCUGGCAGGACGCUGCUCUGCAGUGAGUACUUCAGGAGUGAGGACUUUGACAGGACGGGGCAGACUAUCCGGCUUAAAGAUGGUGUUGUGCCAACAGUAUUCAAUUUCCCAGCUCAUCUUCAAAGGGUAUGUGUAUCAUUGGCCAACAAGAAUUCAAGGUGUAUAAGAUUGAUUGAUAAAUAUGUGAUUAAAUGUCACACUUUAGUUUUUCUUUCUGCAAGUUUAGGAAUAAAUAAUGUGUUGUGUAUUACAGCACAUUUUAAACACUCAAAAUGUCUUUAAUUAUGUUU